rnacentral:rRNA from 1 species
AUUGAACGCUGGCGGCAGGCCUAACACAUGCAAGUCGAGCGAGCGGCGGACGGGUGAGUAAUGUCUGGGAAACUGCCUGAUGGAGGGGGAUAACUACUGGAAACGGUAGCUAAUACCGCAUACCAUCAGAUGUGCCCAGAUGGGAUUAGCUAGUGGGUGGGGUAACGGCUCACCUAGGCGACGAUCCCUGGCUGGUCUGGGAGGAUGACCAGCCAAACGGGAACGAGAACACGGUCCAGACUCCUACGGGAGGCAGCGGUGGGGAAUAUUGCACAAUGGGCGCAAUCCUGAGGCAGCAAGGCGGGGUGGGUGAAGAAGGCCUUCGGUUGUUAAAGCACGUUCAGCGGGGAGGCGUUACCCGCAGAGGAAGCACCGGCUAACUCCGUGCCAGCAGCCGCGGUAAUAC